GGUCUGGGGGUGUAGCUGGAAAUACGUCCUCUUUAUGUAGGCGAAGUUCCUCGAUCAUGAGGAAGUUCCUUGUUCGAAUCAAGGCCAGGCUG